ACGGUCAUACACUCAUCAACUCCACUUAUAAGAGUACCACCCAUUAAUAGCCUCUGUGCCCGGUGAUGAUGACCAAGUACAUGAGGAACAAUGUGCAAGGACUUGUGCUAAUUUCUUUUCUUCUUGUGGUGUGUUUGACUUGUCUUGGAGGCACAUAUGGCGAAAUCAUAAAUGACAAGGGGAGCAACAUGAUGAGGAAAGUAAGCCAUGUAACGAGACCCCCUUGUUAUAAAGAUGGGCACCAGCUCCCAGGACGGGAAUUCUGCUGUAAAAUAGAUAACUUGUGCUGGCCAAAUCUCGGAGAAUGCUUCACCAACUGUCCCUGCAAGAUUAAUUGCACACCAGCAGCAGCAGCAACAACAACACAAUAGUUUUGUUAUCACCCCUAUUUUGGGUGGAUAAAUCCCAACCUUAUGGUUCUCAAUAAUUAUGUGUUGAUGAGAUCAUAAAUUUUUUAUGUUUUAGAAAUCAACUAUGUUAUUUUAAUAUUCAAUAAAACUAGUUUGUUGUUUGCA